AAGCAGAAUGUUGAACAGGAAUCCUCUUUGGAAACUAACCAACCCUGUUCCUACUUUUUUUUUUUUUUCUUUUUUUCCUGGCAGGAAGCAUGGUUAUGUCCCCUGAAGCCCUGGUCCACAUGAAGCUCUUCCUGCUUUUCUUCAGAGGAAGAUGCAGGAGCUGGUUAAUGGAAUGGAUUUUGCAUUCAGAGAUCUCUUGGGGCUGCCUGUAGGUGGAUAUGUUCAUG
rnacentral:lncRNA from 1 species